UCAACAUUUCCAGCGCAUCAAUCGGGCCCUUUAAGAAACCAAAAAGUUAUCCAAAGGUCAUUGUAUUUAGAAUUAUUUGCUUUCCUUAACAUGUAAAUCCAGACAAGCUUCCAAACUCCCGCCCACACACUCUCUCCCUUUCCUCUCGCUUAAACCUCUCACCCCUGCGUCGCCCCUCUUCUUUUUCAACUGCCAUGCAACCCGUCUCCCUCCGAGCUCCCGCUCUUCUUCAAGCCCUGACCAGCGGAACGAAGGUGGUCCAGCCCUAAUCGCUGGUGUGUGGUCUCAUAUGAGGUUGUUUCUGAAACAUCUAGGUUAACUUGUUCUCUCUCUCUCACUCUGGCUAAGGCUCUGCGUUUGCCAUGGCUGACGCAGCUCUUGUUAGUCCUGUUGAUGGAAUAACAUUGAGAGUUGCAAGAUCCUGGUGAUAUGAUUGAGCAAGUGAAGGGAUUUUCCUAUUCUGCUUCUUCUCUUCUUGGCACAAAUCUUUGCUUUCCUCUUCUGGCCGCUGAUGAUGAAUAUGGAAAACAUAAUACUGCAGAAAACCGACAGAGUGCUAGUCCAGAAAAAAAAUCAUGGUGGCAGAUCUCACUGGCAUCACCUAGAGUUUCUGGUCUUGUUGUACUGAGGUAGUCUUAUAUUUAUAUGUUUCUUGUAGUUGCUAGCUACAUUUUGCUAGUAAGAUAAUUUAUUGGAACUAUAGGCACCACAGAAACUAUUCAUAU